GCUGACAAUUUUUCCCUCCCUAGCUUGUCAAUAGCCAUUCUGAUUGCAGGGCAGGAAGCUGUGAUACUUUUACUUGCUGCUGAAGCAAGACUAUUGACUUGGUCAGCGUUCAGGCAAUGGAGAAACACUGCCAUCUGAACCUUCGUGAAGUCGGUCCCAACACAGAACCUCAUACCGCCACCAAAAGCCAUAAAUUGUUUAGAUGCAACAUGUACCUCCAUCCCCUGUGAACAGAGAAUUCUGUGACCAACCUCCCAUCUCCAUGGAUUAAAAGUCAGAGGAUCUUCAUAUUUUGCUGGAUUUAAGUGUACAGCUGGCGGACAAACCAUAACAGCCCAACCUGCUGUGCUUUCCGGAAGAUUCCUGGAACUAUAUUUGCAAGCCUGACAGUUUCAUUUAUCACCUGCAAGUGGACUUUAGCAGUAAGAAAGCUGUUUUAUGCAGGUAUCAUUUGAGUAGAACUUGAAGGUAGUGUAAGUUCUUGCUCGCCUGAAAUGUGAAUGUCAUUGAUUUGUACUCUUUCCAGUGCCAUGGGGUUGUCUGAAAGAAACUUCAUGGCUAGUGUCAGAGCAAGUGAAGUUGUCUCAAAGCUGGCAAAUAGUAACACGAACAUCAAAUCCAAUGCAAUUGCCUCCUGUUCUCAACUUCCGGGAGCAUCUUUUGGAGGCUUACCGGGCCAAAGAGAUUCAGCACCAUAUUCUUGAGGUACUUGUACAUGAAACCGUGUAGCGAACCCACAUUUUGUUGGCC